rnacentral:rRNA from 1 species
UCUACUCUUUUCGUGGGGGGAUAAACGUAGGGGAAACUUACGCUAAUACCGCAUACGACCUACGGGGUGAAAGCCGGGGACCUUCGGGCCUGGCGCGAAUGAAUGAGCCGAUGCCCGAUUAGCUAGUUGGCGGGGUAAGAGCCCACCAAGGCGACGAUCGGUAGCUGGUCUGAGAGGAUGAUCAGCCACACUGGAACUGAGACACGGUCCAGACUCCUACGGGAGGCAGCAGUGGGGAAUAUUGGACAAUGGGCGCAAGCCUGAUCCAGCCAUACCGCGUGGGUGAAGAAGGCCUUCGGGUUGUAAAGCCCUUUUGUUGGGAAAGAAAAGCAGUCGGUUAAUACCCGGUUGUUCUGACGGUACCCAAAGAAUAAGCACCGGCUAACUUCGUGCCAGCAGCCGCGGUAAUACGAAGGGUGCAAGCGUUACUCGGAAUUACUGGGCGUAAAGCGUGCGUAGGUGGUUGUUUAAGUCUGUCGUGAAAGCCCUGGGCUCAACCUGGGAAUUGCGAUGGAAACUGGGCGACUAGAGUGUGGCAGAGGAUAGUGGAAUUCCUGGUGUAGCAGUGAAAUGCGUAGAGAUCAGGAGGAACAUCCGUGGCGAAGGCGACUGUCUGGGCCAACACUGACAC